GAAUGAGAGGGCCAUCUGGCUGGAGCAUCUGUUACUGAACUGGUUGCCAGGAUAGUUUCCACUGAUCUGACUGGCUAAGUGGGUGUUCCUUUUCUCCUUAUAUCCGUCCCUCCCUAAGCCUACCGGUGCAAUGGAGUCUUCCUUUUCUUUGGGCAAGGUUAUCUGAGUCCUGAUGCUUGCUUGCUGGAACCUCAAAACAAGUUCUUUUCUCACGAGGGACCACCACAAUAAUGCAUUUUCUGCCUCUUUUGUAAGUAUUGUGAAAAUCAAAUGGAAUAAUAGAUUUGGAACUGUAAACCUCUAUGUAAGUGAAAAGAAAGAUAAUGU
ensembl:misc_RNA 7SK 7SK RNA